rnacentral:rRNA from 1 species
CCUACGGGAGACAGCAGUAGGGAAUAUUGCUCAAUGGGGGAAACCCUGAAGCAGCAACGCCGCGUGGAGGAUUAAGGUUUUCGGAUUGUAAACUCCUUUUGUUAGAGAAGAUAAUGACGGUAUCUAACGAAUAAGCACCGGCUAACUCCGUGCCAGCAGCCGCGGGAAUACGGCGGGCGCAAGCGGUACUCGGAAUCACUGGGCGUAAAGAGCGCGUAGGCGGGAUAGCAAGUCAGAUGUGAAAUCCUAUGGCUUAACCAUAGAACUGCAUUUGAAACUGUUAUUCUAGAGUAUGGGAGAGGUAGGUGGAAUGCGAGGUGUAGGAGUGAAAUCCGUAGAUAUCUGGAGGAACAUCAGUGGCGAAGGCGACUAUCUGGCACAUUACUGACGCUGAGGAGCGAAAGCGUGGGUAGCGAACAGGAUUAGAUACCCUAGUAGUC